UGUUGAAAUAAAGCUGCAAAAUGUGCACUGUUUGACUCGCUAAUUUCAGUUUUUUGCCUCUUCCUCGUAGAGUGCCAAAGUGGUUCUUUUGGAGGACCUGGCCUCCCACCUGGGCAUAAGGACACAGGAUGCAAUUAACAGAGUGCAAGACCUGAUGGCUGAUGGAACGCUCACAGGCGUAAUCGAUGACAGAGGAAAGUUCAUCUACAUCACAACGGAGGAAAUGACGGCCGUGGCCGACUUCAUUCGGCGGAGGGGACGCGUCUCCAUUACAGAACUGGCUCGGCAGAGCAAUUCUCUCAUCAACCUGGAACCCGAGGCCAGAGCAAUCGCUAAGGGGGUGGCAUGAAAAGGCAAUUUUUUACAUGCACAGAGGAAAUAAAGUGUGGUUAUAAAA